rnacentral:pre_miRNA from 1 species
UCUUCAUUCCACACACUCUCUCACCGGUCGGAGAGGCGAGAGAGUGUGUGAGAUGAAGAGA